GAUAAUUCCACUGGCCAUACAUACAUGAUUCAAGAGUCAUAAACUGGAGGACCUGGGCUCAAGUCCUGGCUCUGUCUCUAACUCACCACCCUUAUUCUCAAGGACUUCAUCAUCUCUGUACAAGAAAGGGGUUUAUACUUGCGUUCCGAGUACUUUCUCUGUGCGUGGAACUGUGCUAAACACAAGGAAGCAUGAGAAAAGAUCCAUCAAGAAGUUCACAAAUUGGCUACAGAAACAGAGGAGGAAAUACAGCCUGAAAGGAGAAACAACUUUCCAAAAGCCACAGAGAGUUGGUAGCUUAAUUGAGGUCAGAACCAAAGAGAAUCUGAUGUCCAGAACUCCUGUGAUACCACACCCAUUCAUGAACCUUGAGUCUGACAUGGCCAGGGAGAUAUAGCCUCAGGGGGAAAGAGCACAUAACUGGAAGCAGACACAGUCCCUCGACCUUUACUGCACACGUAUUUAUCUCAGAGAGCGUCACUGAGUGCAUUGUUCCAGAGCAAGACGAGCCCAUCUGCGUGGGAGAAACUCUAGUCUGCCCCCAAAGAUCAUCUCUGACUGAGAAAAAGAUUCAAUCACUCCCUCUAACCCAAACUCUCCAAAACUCUAUUUCCUAUUAUGUCUCAACUACCAAAUUUAACCCACCCGCAUCUCAAGAUUAGAUCUGUGAGCUCACAAAAGCUCAAUCACUCAAUUUAGAGUAGGGAAAAUCUUACCCUCUCCAAACAAAGUAAAAUGUGACAUAACCCAGUUGCUAGGAUUAUGUCUCACUCAGGAAGAAGGAGAGGAACAGGGAGAAAAAUGGGUGGGUCAUUCAUUACAGGGAAUUUUCCAGGAUAAUUUGAGUAGUGUGGCCCUCCAAAAUCAAUGUUCCAGUCCUUAAAACAGUGCUCAAGUCAAGAUCCAGGCUUUAGGAGAGCCAUGAGAGUGAAGAAGUCUCUUCUGCCCUUGCCCUGAAUCCCUGAGUAAUCUCUAGGUACAUUCUGAUUCCUCCUCGGAUGACUAGUAUCAAUGAUGAUCUUUAUACCCAGGCCCAGGGAAUCCUAAAAGAAAGUACCAGUCUCCAAAAUCUACUUGAUUAGGCCAAUGUAGAAUAUGGCACAAUUCUACCUAAUCAAGAAUCCUUUUCCUCUUCUGAGCCUUCAUUUGCAACAUCCUGGAAUUUCAUAGGAAGCUGACUUGGGAAAUAUCUAAAGUCCCUUCCAACAUCUUUGGUUGGUGUUUCAAUAACUGAAAGACAGUUUGGCAUACCAAAAGGGUCAGGGACUCUGGCCUUUUUCAAUUUCCAAUUCUGCCCUGGACAAGCAAUUUUACUUCGCUGAACACCAGUUUUCUCUUCUUUAAAAAAGGCAGUGACAAUUUAUAGAUCACAGAAUUUGCAAGGAUUUGAGAAAAUAUAUUUGAUGUCCUUAAAACAGUGUCUGGUAUACAGACCUACACAGUAAAUGAUCAGUAAUCAGUCUGAGCAGGUCUUUGGACUUCGGCUAAUUAAUGACUGGUCUCAAGAAUAAGACCUCUAUGGAUAAAAUCUUAAAAGAGACUUUGAGUUCAGAAAGGAGCUAUGUUCUCAAGUUAAAGAGUCUUCUAAUUCAUCAGCAACCACUAAUCUACUAGAGGCUACCAAUUCACAGCUGGUGAAACCUGUUUUCCUAAAACAACUGGCCAUGUUAAAAAGUGAUACAGUUACAGAACAUCCAGCUCUUGAGGCCAGUUUUAGAGGAAAUCAUUCUUUCCAUAUGGAGGAUUACUAAGAGGCACCUUGGUAUGGACUCAAUUUUAAACAAUCCAGAAAAACUCCUGCCAGGGCCUGAGCAAUGUAAUUAAUUUUGGACCAGCCACCCUACCAUCCCGGGUUUCAGUUUGCCCAUUUAUAUGGUAGAGGUGAUGACAUAAGCAUCUAGGAGUUGCUUAAAUGACUGGCUGUGAUAACCCCAAGUCCUUGUACGGUAGAUGGCUGACAGCAAAAGCAGGAUUCCUUAGUAUUCCUGCAGCGCUUAUCACCUAUGUGUCUUUGGUUACAUCUCUUUCCCUGAGUCUCCAUUUUCAGACCUAGAAAAGGAGUCCCAGGAUACUCCCCAUCAUAGAACUACUGUAAGCAAUUGAUGAGGCAAUGGACAAAAGGGUUUUAUAAAGUAGAAGGAAGGCAUGACCCAAAGGCAGGACAUGCUCAUGGCUAUGCCCAGGCUCUUUUAGACAAGCACCCCAGCAUCUCCCUUUUAUUCUUAUCGUCUAAAAGUGAUUGUACUUCCAUGUACACAAGAGUUUGAAGGUUCCAUUUCCAAUGGUGCCUGUGGAAAUGUUACCAGUAUUUUUUGUCAUUUAGAGUGACCUGAGGGGAAAUUGGCCAGACUGUUGUCCUAGGUCCAGAGUCUUACUACAAGAUUAAAACUCCACCCAGAAACCUGAGUCAACCGAAGAAUGAGGCACUGGGCAUAAACCAUGCCAAAAAUAUCCACCCUCUGCUUUCCAGGAUCCCAAAUGACACUGGUCAUUGAAAACCCAUCCCUCCAAUCCAGAGGGAAAACUCAGCUCUGCUUAAGAUGAAUUUAAUGCCCAGCAUUAGUGUUAAAACCCCAAAAGGCCCUUCCAAAACUGUGACCUUCUAUUCAAAGGCUUGCUUUUGUUUGGUUGUAUCUUGUAAAACACUUUAGCAGCGAAUUUAGGACUUAUAAAACGGGCCAAUUGACAGCCUCAGGAACCAAAAGUCUGUUUAUUCAUUGAGUACAGACAGUGGGGGCAGGAGCAACAGACAACAUGGUGCCUAAGCCAGGGGUUUCUGGAGCAAAGAUAUCUUAGAACCCAGAGCAGUCAUGGGUCCUGAGGUAAGAAUGAGGAAAGAGUUCAUGGAAAAGGUGGAACUAGUUAUAACUGCAGUAGGCUCUGGGACAACAAUGAUUUAAAAAGGACACCACUUGACCUUGGAUAUGUUACUGAGCAUCUCUGUGUCAAUAAAAUGGAUUAUACACUUC